rnacentral:lncRNA from 1 species
UGUGUGUGAGUCUCUGGACUUUUUUUCUGUAUUUCAGCCCCUCCAGUUCAACUCUGCCACCUGGACUGGUUCGCCUUGCAACCAAACAGUUGAACUGGCAAUUGGUGCUGGCAAGGUGAUACCAUCAAUUUUUGACAUACAGUAUAAAAGAUUUUCACCCACACCUCAUUGACUCUGCAUUCCUAAAGUGUAUACUGUGUUUCACCAAAAAAAUCAUUGUAUUUUUGCCCCUAAUUUAGACUUUAUAGUUGUUUUAUGUUAAUUUUAACUGCAGCAACACUGUUUUCUUGGAUUUUCAAGAAAUCAUUCGUUUGUGUGCUUUGGUUCUUGUGAGAUAUCCAAAUUUAAUUAAACGUCUUAUUGUGGGUGCAAGCCAUGUAAUCUCAAUUAAACUCAUUUUUUCCUUCACUUUUCCACUUGUUCCUGCCAGUUAUCUAGUUAUGCAAUACAAGCAGAGACAGUGAGCUUUAAUUAGCUAUUGAUUUCCAGAUGGAAGACAACAUUCUCUGUGUUAGAAAUGUUUAUUUUUGGCCCCGCGUUUGCUUACACAGUCAUUCUGUCGUCUUUUCACCCAUUUUGUUUGUUUAUUUAUUUCUUUUUUUCUCCAUCCAGUAAUGGGAAGCUCCUGGCUGUGGUUCAGGACCAGUGCGUGGAAAUUAGGUCAGCUAGAGAUGACUUUGGAUCCAUCAAAGGAAAAUGCCAAGGUACAGUAAACAUUUUGUUUUGUGGUUAUGUGGCAAGCUCUUCAUAUAUAUAUAUAUCUCUUCAUAUAUAUAUAUACAUUCUCCCUAUUUUGAUUGCUGUUUCAAAGAUUGAAAUCUGCCACUUUGAGUUUCCAGUCUUUGGUUAAAUAGGCUGUUAUUCUCUUCCCUGCUCUAUAUUUUUCAUAGCUUUACAUUGCGUUGAAAUUUUUUUUUUUUUAUGAGCAAUAUCAUUCAGAGACUAGUCCUGCAGACAUGCCAGUCUGCUUUCAAUUCACUUUCAUUCAUACUGUCUUCAGUUGAUUUCAUGGAGCUUUGCAUUCAGCCAAUAUUUUCUAUAAAGGCAGAAUUUCCAGUGGUGUGAAAUAUAUGUAAUGGAUGUGUUUGAUUAAUUGGCAUGGUCUUUUGUGCUCUAUAUUCACACUUUUUUUCUUUCCUCUCUCGUCUUGUGGAACAGAAUGUGAUGUUUUAUAUGUACCAGAUAUAUGUGUGUUCUGUGGUGUAACUCUGAUGGGAACGAUUUCCUCGUCUCUACAUGUAAGAGUCGGUGCAUAGACAUUCUCAGUCGUUCAUGAAAAAGUCAUCUGUGCGUAAUGUAUCUCUUUUUAUGAAUGAAGUGUGAGUUAAGAGCAUCUGACGAGAAAGAAAAACAAUCAGUGAUAUGCAUCUAUAGCAAAAUAAAACUGAUUUAUGCUGUCAGUUAUGUCUAUGAAACAUCAUUUGCUACUUUCUAGUCAGUUGCAGAUAGGCAGGAGAUUAGGGUCAAUGGUAUCUAUUCUAAAUAUAAAAAUCAUUUAUAUAAAAAUACUGAUAACCAGUAAAUGGCUGAUAUUGAAACUUGAAAC